CCAAUAGCGUAUAUUAAAGUUGUUGCAGUUAAAAAGCUCGUAGUUGAAUUUCGGGGUUAGUAGGUUGGUCAUGCCUCCGGUAUGUACUGAUCUCACUGAUCCCUCCUUCCUUAUGAACCGUAAUGCCAUUAAUUUGGUGUUGCGGGGAAUUUGGACUGUUACUUUGAAAAAAUUAGAGUGUUUAAAGCAAGCUAACGCUUGAAUACAUUAGCAUGGAAUAAUGAAAUAGGACGUUCGAUCUUAUUUUGUUGGUUUCUAGGAUUGACGUAAUGAUUAAUAGGGAUAGUUGGGGGCAUUAGUAUUCAAUUGUCAGAGGUGAAAUUCUUGGAUUUAUUGAAGACUAACUACUGCGAAAGCAUUUGCCAAGGAUGUUUUCAUUAAUCAAGAACGAAAGUUAGGGGAUCGAAGACGAUCAGAUACCGUCGUAGUCUUAACCAUAAACUAUGCCGACUAGGGAUCGGAUGAUGUUAAUUUUUUAAUGACUCAUUCGGCGCCUUACG
rnacentral:rRNA from 1 species